rnacentral:rRNA from 1 species
GUGGGGAAUUUUGGACAAUGGGGGCAACCCUGAUCCAGCCAUGCCGCGUGCGGGAAGAAGGCCUUCGGGUUGUAAACUGCUUUUGUACGGAACGAAACGGUCCUGGUUAAUACCUGGGGCUAAUGACGGUACCGUAAGAAUAAGCACCGGCUAACUACGUGCCAGCAGCCGCGGUAAUACGUAAGGUGCGAGCGUUAAUCGGAAUUACUGGGCGUAAAGCGUGCGCAGGCGGUGCUGUAAGACAGGCGUGAAAUCCCGGGGCUCAACCUGGGAAUUGCGCUUGUGACUGCAGUGCUGGAGUACGGCAGAGGGGGAUGGAAUUCCGCGUGUAGCAGUGAAAUGCGUAGAUAUGCGGAGGAACACCGAUGGCGAAGGCAGUCCCCUGGGCCUGUACUGACGCUCAUGCACGAAAGCGUGGGGAGCAAACAGGAUUAGAAACCCGUGUAGUCC